GGCUAGAGGACGAGAAAUGGAGAGCGAGCAAUGCUUGGCUUGUCCGAUUGCGUGCUUCGGCAGCGACCGCUGCGGCGAUGUAGCUGAGUUUUUCUUCUGCUGGAUCGCGGGGAAGCUGACACGAAUGCGAAGGAUACUGAAGCACUCCGGGGCUUCCAACGGGGUGUUCAAGACCCAUUGUC